GGUAAGAUGGCCGAGUAAGCGGUGGAUUGUAGUCCCAUAUACAGAGGUUCGAGCCCUCUUCUUAUCA
rnacentral:tRNA from 1 species